rnacentral:rRNA from 1 species
UACGGAGGGAGCUAGCGUUGUUCGGAAUUACUGGGCGUAAAGCGCACGUAGGCGGCUUUUGUAAGUUAGAGGUGAAAGCCCGGGGCUCAACCCCCGGAAUUGCCUUUAAGACUGCAUCGCUUGAAUCCGGGGAGAGGUGAGUGGAAUUCCGAGUGUAGAGGUGAAAAUUCGUAGAUAUUCGGAAGAACACCAGUGGCGAAGGCGGCUCACUGGACCGGUAUUGACGCUGAGGUGCGAAAGCGUGGGGAGCAAACAGG